UACGUAGGGGGCGAGCGUUGUCCGGAUUUAUUGGGCGUAAAGAGCGCGCAGGCGGUCGUUCAAGUCGAGUGUGAAAGCCCCCGGCUCAACUGGGGAGGGUCACUCGAUACUGAUCGACUCGAAGGCAGGAGAGGGUAGUGGAAUUCCCGGUGUAGUGGUGAAAUGCGUAGAUAUCGGGAGGAACACCAGUGGCGAAGGCGACUACCUGGCCUGUUCUUGACGCUGAGGCGCGAAAGCUAGGGGAGCAAACGGG
rnacentral:rRNA from 1 species